GCAUUCAGCUAUUUAAUUACUUACCAGAGCUAGGUUCGUUUUACGCCCUCCAAUACUACUUCGCUCUCUCCAUUUUCAAUUCGACUGAGCAAAUGAUUUUGUUGGGCAAGAGCAUUGUUCUUACUGGUAUCUUGGAGACUUGAUUUAAUUCAUGGCUCUACAUCGCGUGUUCCGACUACAUUUCAAGUGUUAAUUUUUCGUUACUGAGGCGUUCACUAUGUUGCCUAAUUUUGCUAAUUUCUUGAAAUAUUUUUUUGCUUUCAGAUUGGACUUUAAGAAGAUGUGCUGGAUUUACACGCUUUAACUCCUCGCAAAUGGAUUACAACAGAUAAAAAAAUGUUGCUGUGCAACCGAAUGGAAACGGUUUCAAUGGUUAAACGCCCUCAAAAGAAGGUAAACUUACGGAAACGAAUUUUGAUUUGGGACACAGGCUCAUAAUUGUUUAAAAAAGAUUAAACAGUUUUUUUGACGACGGAUUGCAUCUCGUGAGCAGCGGAUUGCGUGUAAAUAGAAUCGAUUAAAUAUUUCUUUUGAGGGUGAAUUGCAACUCGUGAGCAUCGGAUUGCGCGUAUAUAGAAUAGAUUAAAUAUUUCUUUUGAGGGUGAAUUGCAACUCGUGAGCAUCGGAUUGCGCGUAUAUAGAAUAGAUUUAAUAUUUCUUUCGAACGUGAAUUGCAUCUCGUGAGCAGCGGAUUGCGCGUAAAUAGAAUAGAUAAAUCACAAUAAACAGCCUUGGGGAGUGGAUGCUUCGAAUACAAACAGACGUGUUUGUUGCACGCAUUUAGUAUCCCAAUUAUGUGCAGAAUAUGCAAUGCAAUUAUCUCAUGACAUGGAAAUACUGAACGAUCAAAACACAACUAACUGCAAGGGUUUUCAUUUCAAUGAGGAAAUCAAGAAUAAAUUUAAAACAGUGCUGGGUGAACCACAUAUAUUUAAAUUGGACACUCGACGUGUGCUGCGAAGCCUUGUUUCUGAUCCAGAUACGUUGCUUGGGCUAUGUAAAUAGCAUAUAUCCAGUUAACAUUGCCAAGGUGGUGACUGCCACUUUUCUCAACGUUUAAAUCGUUGCUCGACAUAGUUAAAUCAGGAAUGAUUUUUUAACGAAUCAAAAAGUGCUAAAUCAUCAGGAAUCUUCAGUAGGCCAUCAAUCUCCCGAAUUUAGCAAUCCAGCGGUGGACUUUUGGAAGUGGCCUUUCAUUCCAAAAGAGAUUACGAGAAAUUCUUUCAAAAUAAUAAGGUGUUAAUGUAGUUCACGAGAAGAUACAGGUAAGUAAUGAAGUCGUCUUAUUUGGCCGAACAUGCAGGAGAGGAGGCACGAUCAAACCGAGAUUGCUACCCCUUCUGCAGGCGUGUGCUGCGUUAUAUUUAAUAUAAAUCAUAUUCCCGAUACAAAAAAACUGAUUCAAUUUUCAAUAAACAGUGAUACACAAUGAAUAGA